AAAGGCAAGAUGAUGUGGCAGAAAUGAGUAGCUGCUACUGGGGAAGCAAGGGUUUUGGAAUGAAAGUUGCCUGUUGAAGUGAGUUUAUGUAAAACGCGAGGUAACACGGCCUUGAAUUUAGUGGCAUAAAUAUACUAACAAAUUUAUCCGUGGUGUCGCAUGACUAAUCCCAGCACCGGGGAAGCUAGGGCUACAUAGUGAGACCCUGUCUCAAAUGCCACCCCCUGCACCCCCAAAUACACUUGUGUAGCAGCAGUGCUUGGCACAUGGUAUUACUGUUCAGCAUGAGUCGUUAUCAUAGUUUAGAGAGGAAGUAGAGGAGAAAAUGGAAAGUGUUGGAGAUAGCAAAUUAUGGUAGGCAGGGGAUAGAAAAGGCAGAGGAUAGAAUGAAAUUUCAACCUGAAAUGGGAUGGGAUUAAAUUUAUUUAAAGGAAGUAAACCAAACGCCUAACGAUUAGGAAAACAGUGCAAUGCUGAAAAGAGUGAAGCAAGGUCCGUCCCUAAAAGGGUAGGUGACCACUGAAGAAAGCAGCAGGUCUGCCAGUGUUUUCAGAGUGAAGACUGAGGAAAGAAGGGUUGCACUUCUGUUAUUGUAAGGCCUGGCCAACUGUGGCUCUGCCUUCAGUCUCAACUCUCAAGAGUCUGAGGUAGGAAAAUCCAUGAGUUUGAAGCCAACUCGGGCUACUCAGGGAAUUUCAGAGCAGCUUGAGCUUCACAGUGAGCUCAGGCUGUAUCUAAAAAACAAAACAACAAAACCAGAAAUAGUUCAUUGUUUAAAAAAAAGAAAGAAAGAAAGAAAAGA
rnacentral:lncRNA from 1 species